rnacentral:lncRNA from 1 species
CCCAGAAGCUCUUGGAUAAGAAGACUAGCUUUCCGUUCUACUCUUUCAUGUUUAGGUAGGUGAUGCAUAGAGAAUGGAUAAUAGAAUUGUGAAAGCAAAAAGACCCACUUUCCUCAAAGGAAGCCGCUUAACUGAUUUAGUUUAGACUCUAAUCGAGACCAGGCGAAAGAUGAAAGGCAUAGUUGAAAAAAGCUGCUACUUUUUUUACUCUUAAAAGAGGAGUUUCGUUACUUCCUGGCUUGUUUCGCAUAGGCUACACAAAGCUAUGUUUGAUUCCUGUCACCUUUCUUGUGGAUCAUCCGGCGGUUAACGGAUUAUGGGACGAAGAACGAAAAACGAAAAGGGAUGCCAUUUUCACUCAUCUGUUUUGUCUACCUUUUCAAGAAUUUUAUGAUGGAAGCUUAUAAAAUUCAUGAAAUUCUUUCUUGGAUAUUUGGAUGAAUUUGGAUUUUAGGGCCAUUGUUUUGGAAGAAUCAUUGGAGACAGAACCGCGGGCGGUGGUGGCGAUUGGCGUUAGUAGAGAGAAAUGGCAGAGGAAAAUAGUGAGAGGAUAUGAAUAACUUUUAGAAAAUUUUAAAAAUGCAUCACUAAUUAUAAAAUUUGUAAAAAUACCUAUGAUAAUUAAGUCAAAACACCAAAAUUAAAAGAAAAAAUGGCAAUAAAAUAAAAA